rnacentral:misc_RNA from 1 species
UACGUAGGGUGCUAGCGUUGCUCGGAAUUAUUGGGCGUAAAGCGCGUGUAGGUUGUUUUGUAAGUUGGGUGUGAAAGCCCCGGGCUCAACCCGGGAAGUGCACUCAAAACUACAUGACUAGAGGAAAGUAGAGGAUGGUGGAAUUCCAGGUGUAGAGGUGAAAUUCGUAGAUAUCUGGAGGAAUACCGGCGGCGAAGGCGGCCAUCUGGGCUUUCCCUGACACUGAGACGCGAAAGCGUGGGGAGCAAACAGG